UACGGAGGGUGCAAACGUUGCUCGGAAUCAUUGGGCGUAAAGCGCGCGCAGGCGGUCCUUUAAGUCUGAUGUGAAAGCCCACGGCUCAACCGUGGAGGGUCAUUGGAAACUGGGGGACUUGAGUGCAGAAGAGGAGAGCGGAAUUCCACGUGUAGCGGUGAAAUGCGUAGAGAUGUGGAGGAACACCAGUGGCGAAGGCGGCUCUCUGGUCUGUAACUGACGCUGAGGCGCGAAAGCGUGGGGAGCGAACAGG
rnacentral:rRNA from 1 species